rnacentral:rRNA from 1 species
AUGAACGCUAGCGACAGGCCUAACACAUGCAAGUCGAGGGGCGAGCACAAGGAGCAAUCUGAGGUGGCGACCGGCGCACGGGUGAGUAACACGUAUGCAACCUGCCUGUAAGCGGGGAAUAACCCGUUGAAAGACGGACUAAUACCGCAUAAUACUAAAUUACUGCAUGGUAAUUUAUUUAAACAUUUAUGGCUUACAGAUGGGCAUGCGCAUGAUUAGCUAGUUGGAGAGGUAACGGCUCCCCAAGGCACGAUCAUUAGGGGUUCUGAGAGGAAGGUCCCCCACACUGGUACUGAGACACGGACCAGACUCCUACGGGAGGCAGCAGUGAGGAAUAUUGGUCAAUGGACGAGAGUCUGAACCAGCCAAGUCGCGUGCAGGAAGAAUGUCCUUAAUGGAUUGUAAACUGCUUUUGCAGGGGAAUAAAGUGCAUCACGUGUGAUGUUUUGUAUGUACUCUGCGAAUAAGGAUCGGCUAACUCCGUGCCAGCCGCAGC